GGCAGGCGGAACAUCUCAUUUAAAAACAGCCGCGUCUUUGUUUUUCCUUAUUUUAACCUUAUGCAGUGUAUACGGUACCACGAACAACUACUUUACGUUUUUGUUAUUAUACAGUUAGUUGGCCUGAUCCGAGCGGUACAUUAACAAGCUUCUCCUGUGCAGUCAAAUCAGUCCCUGUCUUCAUCCUUUGACUCCAGUGACUCGCAGGACACACUCAUUAUUGAAUAAAGGUCUUCCAGUAAAGGAAUGAGACUAGAUGGAGCUAAAAGUACAUCACCACCAAGAAAGGUGAACGAAGCCAGAGGAAUCGUGCCUUUGUUCCCGUACCUUCUUCAAAAAUGGCUAUGCCAGAAGAGACCAGGAAAGGUGUCUACGUCUCAAGUAGGGGAUAUCUUCUAGAAGAGUGGAACAAGCAUUGAGGAGCAUAUUCAAGACAUCGCUGGAAGUGCUCAGCCCUGUCGACUGGCUCUGGGAAGAAUUAUUCAGUUCAGCAGUACUUCAAUUUUGAUCAGAAUGCCAUUCCAUGCAAGUCAGUCUCUUCUCUUGAUGCCUUUAACAAACUGUUUACCCAAAAAUGAAAAUUGUCAUUAUUUACUCACCCUCAUGUCAUUCCAAACCUGUAAGACUUGCGUUCAUCUUCAAAACACCAAUGAAGAUAUUUUAAUGAAAUCUGAGAGAUUUCUGUCCUUACAUUGAGAGUCCACGCAAGCUAGCACAUUCAAGGCCCAGAAAGGUAGUAAUGACAUCAUUAAAGUUAUCAUGUGACUCCACUGGUUUAACCUCAAUUUUAUGCAUGCAUUCACGUCUGCUUUAAUUUCAACAAAACACUCAUCCGUCGUCGUGCUCUUGUGUACGCUUGUCAGGGAUUAAUACUUUCAUA